GACGAACGCUGGCGGCGUGCUUAACACAUGCAAGUCGAACGAAGUGGCGAACGGGUGAGUAACGCGUAAUCAACCUGCCCUUCGGAGGGGGACACCAGUUGGAAACGACUGCUAAUACCGCAUACUGAAGGAGGGGAUUGUGUCGGAUUAGCUGGUCGGGGGGGUAACGGCCAGCCAAGGCGGUGGUCUGUAGCCGGUCCGAGGGGAAGAACGGCCACAGUGGGACUGGGAUAAGGCCCAGACUCCUACGGGGAGCAGGCAGGGGGGAUCUUCCGCAAUGGACGAAAGUCUGACUGAGCCACGCCGCGUGAGUGGUGACGGCCUUCGGGUUGGAAAGCUCUGUUAAUCGGGAAGCGGUACCGGAAUAGAAAGCCACGGCUAACUACGUGCCAGCAGCCGCGGUAAUUC
rnacentral:rRNA from 1 species